rnacentral:tRNA from 1 species
CGGGAACUGGCUCAAUUGGCUAGAGCGCUCGCUUUGGGAGCGAGAGGUUCCGGGUUCAAGUCCCGGGUUCCCGACCA